UACAAUUUGGUGUAAAGGCACAUGAAGUUUUGAUUUUCGGAGAAUUGGUGUAAUUCCAUUAUUUGUAU
rnacentral:tRNA from 1 species